rnacentral:rRNA from 1 species
AUCUACGGCCAUACCACGUUGAAAGCACCAGUUCUCGUCCGAUCACUGAAGUUAAGCAACGUCGGGCUCGGUUAGUACUUGGAUGGGUGACCGCCUGGGAACACCGAGUGCUGUAGACU